GCAGACACAUUCCAGCCAAUCAGCAGCAGACCCUCCCUCCCAGACCCUCCCAUCUCCUGGACAGCAUCCAUUUUGAAGCUGCAUUCUUAGUGAGCUGUCCAGGAGGUGGGAGGGUCUGGGAGGGAGGGUCUGCUGCUGAUUGGCUGGAAUGUGUCUG